UACGUAGGGGGCGAGCGUUGUCCGGAAUUAUUGGGCGUAAAGGCGUGUAGGCGGCCGAUCAAGUCAGGUGUGAAAUUCCAGGGCUCAACCCUGGACGUGCACUUGAAACUGGUUGGCUUGAGUGCAGAAGAGGAAAGUGGAAUUCCCAGUGUAGCGGUGAAAUGCGUAGAUAUUGGGAGGAACACCAGUGGCGAAGGCGACUUCUGGUCUGUAACUGACGCUGAGGCGCGAAAGCUAGGGGAGCAA
rnacentral:rRNA from 1 species